rnacentral:lncRNA from 12 species
GUGGGUGGUAGAGAAGAGUCACGAACUGUAAUCACUCAUCUUUGUGCAUCAAUUUGCACAUUUUCAAAGCACUUUCCAAUAUAUUAUUGUACUUAAUCCUCACAAUCCUAUGAUACAGCUAUUAUUACCUCCAUUUUAUUUGAAAAAACAGAGAGCGCAAGGGAUUUGCUCAAGAGGACACAGCUGCUAAGUGUGUCUUUGUUGGAACUGAACCUGGAGCUUUGCCAUGUCCUUUCCUUAUCACAGAUGCCACCCAUCCUUGGAGGCUUACUGCAAGCUCCACCCCUCUGUGAAGCUUCCUCUGCUGCCCAGCACUGCCUGGUGUCUCAGGGUCCCUGCACUCACGGGUCCCCACAGCGAGCCCCAGAGGUGUGGGAGCGCCUCGAGCCGCAGACUCUGCCUUCUACCUCUCCUGGUUUCACUUGGUGUCGCCAGCAUCAUGUCUUCUACAUGACAGAAACUCAAUAAACACUACAAACCCACAUGCCUGGAGUGGGAA